ACUACGGGUGGCAGCAGUGAGGAAUAUUGGUCAAUGGGCGAGAGCCUGAACCAGCCAAGUCGCGUGAGGGAGUACUGCCCUAUGGGUUGUAAACCUCUUUUGUCGGGGAGCAAAAGCCGGACGUGUCCGGCUGUGAGAGUACCCGAAGAAAAAGCAUCGGCUAACUCGGUGCAAGCAGCCGAUGUAAUACGGAGGAAGCGAGCGUAAUCCGGUUUUAGUGGGUUGAAAGGGUGCUCAGUAGGAUUUUUAAUUCAGCGGUACAAGCGUGGGGCUCAACCCCAUCCAGCCGUUGAAACUGGGGAUCUAGAGUGUGCGAGAGGUAUGCGGAAUGCGUGGUGUAGCGGUGAAAUGCAUAGAUAUCACGCAGAACCCCGAUUGCGAAGGCAGCAUACCGGUGCACAACUGACGCUCAGGCACGAAAGCGUGGGUAUCGAACAGGAUUAGAUACCCCAGUAGUC
rnacentral:rRNA from 1 species